CCGCGCGUAGAUCAGUUGGCAGAGCAUUGGGCUAGUAUUCCAAAGGUCCGCGUGGGUUCGAUUCCCACCGUGGCCGGG
rnacentral:tRNA from 1 species